UACGUAGGUGGCGAGCGUUGUCCGGAUUUACUGGGCGUAAAGGGAGCGUAGGCGGACUUUUAAGUGAGAUGUGAAAUACCCGGGCUUAACUUGGUGCUGCAUUUCAAACUGGAAGUCUAGAGUGCAGGAGAGGAGAAUGGAAUUCCUAGUGUAGCGGUGAAAUGCGUAGAGAUUAGGAAGAACACCAGUGGCGAAGGCGAUUCUCUGGACUGUAACUGACGCUGAGGCUCGAAAAGCGUGGGGAGGCAGACAGGAUUAGAUACCCCGUACGU
rnacentral:rRNA from 1 species